AGAAAUCCCAGCCCAUUUCUCCCUUAAACCCUACUCAAAUUGGUCUCUUCCCAAAAGGAAACCCAGCUGGAGAAAACGGUAUGCUGCCAGAAAACCCCAACUUUGUUCCUUAUCAUCGUGAUCCUAGACACGCACCUUCAGUGCGUGAACUAAAACCGAAGUGACUCUCAGCUUUAAAACGACCGGCAAAAAUUUCAAGCGCCUCCUUUGUCGCUCGUCUUCUUCAUGAAGCAAGAGAGCGCGUGCUUGGUGUAUCAGUUCUGUUUCUUUGUCGCCUUCCUCACUAUGAUAGUAUGAUUCUAGGCAGGUUUUCCAGCUGCGCGAAUCGUCCUGCUUGCACGAGAUGACUCCACGUCGAGGGGCAAGGACAAACAAAUCGAUCGAGGCCGUCGAUUCUCCUUUUCGCUUCCGGAAUGGAGUAAAAGUUCUUUCAGAAAAGGUUCUAUCCAAAGGGGAGAAAGUCUCUAUUUUUUUUGAAUUUGGGGUUUGAAUUCCGAUUUCGCCCUUUUGUUUCCCCCCAUUUUCGAAAUUGUUGCCCUAAUUUCCGCUAUAUAUAUUCUCUUCAUCCCAGCUGUAGAGGGGUAUUGAUUUUUUUUCGACUUUAAGGCAGAGAGCAGGGGAGACCGAAAGAAAAAAGGUUCGCGUUGAGAAUUUCCUUUCGAGUCUAAAAAUCUGAGAGUCACCUUAAAAAAGACACUGUCUAAAAAAUAUAGUAAGCCCUUUGAGAAAAGGGUGUCUUAGUUUUUGUCUAAAUAUCACUCCUUCGCUCCAUUUGGAUCGGUCUACUCGAGUUUCGCUUAAGGUUCAAGUUAGUGGCAGAAAUUGGUCAUCCAUCUAGCUCGUCGUUGCCCCGGCUGCUGCUCAAGAAGAGGUAAAAACUUCCCUAACCUUUUUCCUUCUAUAUGUUUUCCAAUGAGCUAUUGAAAAAUGUGAAAAUUUGUUGUUGGUUACGAGCUAAUUUUACAUGAUAAGUUUUUGAUCCUAAGUUCGCUUUUCAUCAUAAUUUUUCUGAAACUAGCAUAUAUAUUUCUGUCUUCCCAGAUGAUUUUUUCCUGUUUAAGUUUGAUCCCCCCUGCUAUGGAUCUUCUUAAGUUUUCUCGUCUGAUUAUGUUCGUUUCAUCUCUGUUUUUUAACUAUAUUUUUUAGUUGCAUAAACUUUAUUUUAUUGUCGUUUGUCUAAAGUCGCAUUCGUGCCUUCAUUAUGUAUUUGGAAAGCGUCGGAGUGCCUUUGGACACUAUGAAUUUAGUUUUUUCGAGUAUGAGUUAAUUUUGUCGAAGUGGUGUCCUCUGAGAGUAUGUUCAUGAAUCUGUUUUCCGUACCCUUCUUCCAGGGAAAAUCUGUCCACUUCCGAAUAUCACUUAGUUUGGUUUUAAAAUGGUUAUUUUAAAAAUCUAAGAUCUCAAUUUAAGUUUGUUGUGUUAUCAUGUGAUGCAGCCUCUCCACCGUAACAACUUCUUCAUCUCUUCUAUUCUGAAUCGAUGUUAGUAAAGUGAUAAAAUCUCUGUAUUGGUUUGAAUGGUACAAGAUUGAAUCUUGGCGACUUCACUUGUUAUUAAUCUAUUCUUAAUGGAUAUCUCGAUCUAGUUUCAACAUCAUGUCGAAUGAUUAUCAUGCGGAGUUUGUCGUUUGUUCAUUUCAAUAUUCAAGCUUACUUAUUUUGUUAUGGUUUAUUCCGAAUAUAAACUUCAACGUUGCAGGCGUGUUCUUUUGAUUUUAUUCUAAUCAAGUCCAGUUCUAACUGUUAUUGUAAUUUAAGUUCCCUUUAUUUUGCUUAGAUUAUAUUCAGUGUAAAAAAAAUACCUUUUUUUAGUUUCGGCUCAUGUAGAGUUUGAUAUAUUAUUUUUUAUUUAAAAAUUGACUGUCUCUUGUCUCUUGACCCUCAUGGAUCGUAACUACAUAUUGUUUGGUUUCAAACUAUUUUGUUGGUUUUAACUUAUCCUAGCUUAUUUUAAGGUUAGAAGUUGUAAUCUAGCCAUUCUGAUGAUUUCUUUGCUGCCAAAUAUGUCGUAGUCGUGAUUGAUCUAGUUGGAUAAAAUGUGGGUUUGUCCCUCGUAAUUUCAAAGUUCACCAAUUUUGAAAUAUCAUUUUGUUUUGGAUUAGAUAAUACUCCGUUUAUUGUUUUGGUUUUGUUGGAAUUUGGAAGAUUUUUGGGUGCCAUUUGUCCCUCGUAACUGGAUUCUCGCAUUUCCCUUUGGGCCGUGGAGGCCUAAAUUUUUUUUCUCUCCAGUCAAGCCCUUUAAAAAAGACGAACAGGUCUCAGAGUAAAAAACGGAGUGGAUCGAAGAUCUAAAAGAAGAAUUGAGCCAAAAGGCCCAUUUUCCUUUUUGUAGAAAACUCCAAAAGCCAAAAGGCCCUCUCUCUUGUCUUAAUACUUAUCUUUUUUAUUUGUCGUUAGUUUAAAGUUAGAAAACUCCAAAUCCCCUUCGAAUGCCAUAACAUUUUAGUAACAUAAAAUUAAACUAAGUUCAAAUAGUUUUAAAAAAUAUUUUUUUUCAACUAAUAAGUGUCGCUUAGAUAAAAAACUAAGAAACUUACUUUCAAACAAUUUCUAAUACAUUUUAUAAGUUAGUUAUUUUAGCCAAAUGAGUUAGUUGUCGGAUAACCGCAAGUUAGCGGAUGUCUUAGGUGCAUUCAAAACUUUCCUAAGACGUUCAUAGGAAUCUCCGAACCCCCCUUUAAAGUUUCAAAACGAUUUUUCUGUUUAAAUCUUUUGGAAACAAAUAGUUUUCUUGAUUUUUCCUAAAAAUUAAGUGGCAAUUCUAAAAAGUCGGAAAAUUUACAAAAUAUUAUUUUUUCGAAAACUUCCGUAUAAAACAGAAAUGGUGACUCAGCUGGGGAUGUUUGAGGAUUCUAACCUUAAAACUAACGUGUUUUAGCUACGUGAAGUUAAUUGUUUAUCUGUUUAUUUAUCGUCUUAUUCAACUGUUGCAUGCAUGGCAUAUCAUAACUCCGUCAAAUGACAAUUAUUUUUAUUUACCACUUAUAGGACGAUCAUGCGCAUUCGCGGUCGUUCGUUAACCAAAUCAUUCUUAGGGCACCCUGAAGAAUGUAGUUGGCUACUUGAAAGUCACCGGUCGUUAACUGUCCCUGCCCAUGUAGUCCGCUUGGGUUACCUUUUCCACUAUAAAUAUAAUCCACUCCUAGUUAAAUUAAGAUAGAGCGAAACCCAAUCCCAAAAAAUUGCGCAUUGGCCUAAGACGACCCAACACCUAAGGAGCAUUGGGCCCAUUAGAAAGACCGCCUUGAGUCCAAAGAGAGCACGGCUCGAUAGGAUGAUCAUAUUUGCGUGUUAAAUUUGAAGGAUGUAUUGCAUUUUUAAAUGUUUGUUGUAUCGUGGGGGUUAGCAAUUAACUAGUUGUACGUUUUUGUAUAUGUCGAGUCAGUUCCUCCAUUUCAACAUGGUCACCAAGACGCCAGACAUUCUCCGCUUAUGGUGGGACAACCUCAAAGAUUAUCAAAAGAGAGAAAUCUCGGUUCACCUGGGUCACUCUUCAAUAAUGGACAUCAAGGUUUGGCCCAUGUUUAUUGAGGUUAUCACUCGGUUCUGGGGAGAUAAGAAGAUGGUUUUUUGAUUUGGAGAUGUCGAAAUAACACCAAUACUAGAGGAAAUUAAGGUUUGUCUGGACUCUAUCGGGACAUGUGGCAAGCGGAAAAAAUGUCCCGAUCAUCACAUCCUUCUGCCAGAUAGGCCAACUAGUGAAUAAUCAAAGAACAUAUUGUUGCUAGUAAAUGCAAACUGGUUGGAAACCCACGAUAUACCACCAAUGAGAUUUUUCGAGAAAUGGGAGCACCUAUUUCAGAUUAUUUCCGAAUGAAUUCCACAAUCACAGUAUCUGGAGGAAAACUCAGACUAUCGCUUUUUCAGCAUGCCUUUUAGGAACUAUGGUUUUCCCUAAAGAUGAAGGAAAGAAAAUCGACACCCGGGUCGUGAUGGUAGUAGACGCCAUGUUAAGAGGAAUUGGUAGAAAACAAGAAGAAAAAAAGUACUGUAGUUCGGCCCUGGUCAUCUUAGCCGACAUUUAUCGAUCUUUAAGUUUGUGUAAGAAUGGGUUUCCAUUUUUUCAAGGUUGAAACAUUCUACUUCAAUGGUGGAUGAUUGAGCAUCUCCGCAAAAGGGAUGGUGCCCAACCGCAGGAGUUGGCCAAACCAAGCCAGACGAGUCCUCUUGAUAAUUAUGAAUUCUAUCUAAGCGUCUGCAGAUUCCCUAUUCAUACCACUAGGGAUGCGUGGGCGAGGGUAUUUUAUGAUAUGAGAGAAGGAGAUAUACAGUGGAUGUUACCAAACUUCAAGUCCGGGAGGAUAGCAGUACAGGGGGCCAAACAUCCAUUUUUAGUCGUUCCUGGCAUAAGAGGAUUGCGGCCCUACAACCCAACAAGAGUGAUACGACAAUUUGAUAGAACACAAAUCACACCCGUCCAAGGGGAUGCUAGCUCUUUUGUUGUCGAUUACAGUAGGAGCGGCAAAACAGCUUUUGGUAAGAUCAUCCUCCAAGAAUGGGCCGUACGUAUCAACAUGAAAUGGGAUAUGGAUGAAAACAGAUAUGAAGCUAGGUAUGUCGACGAAUACAAGACAUGGUGCAGAAUGAUCUGCAUGGUGUAAUGAACCCAACACCAUGCACAGGUUGAGAAAUUAAAGACAUACAAACAAGGCUUCAGAUCCAUGCAUACCAUUUUCAGCAAGAAUGGGACCGAAGGGAGCAAGAAUUUCAGCAAAGGGAGAAAGAAUUUUAGAAAAAAGAGCAAGAAUUUCAGCAAAGGGAGCAAGAUUACCCGUUCCGAGAGUUAGAAAGUCAGAGGGUUUUAGCUGUGACGUCACAAGAGCUAGCCGAUACAAGGGCUUUUAUGAUGUGUUUGGACGCAAACCUGGAUGAGCAAAUGAACACUCUACAAGUCGUACGAACAUCUUACAAAGUUGUGUUCACUGAGCCGUACGUGUUCACAAGCAAGUGCAUCAUCCGCGAAGAAGUAGAGAAGGCCAAAAGAGGAGUUGAGCCAUCAACCUUUUAACUCCCUUGCGUGGGAUUGUUUUUUAUCUGUAUUCGCAUUAUAUCCCCCUCCCUGAAAUUGUACCCCGUUUGAUUGAAAUUAUGUAAUGAACGCUAUGAUUUUUAGUGAAGUUUAUUUUUGGGAUACAACAAUUUGUUUAAAUGACGCAAUACAUCCUUCAGAUCGCUAGGCAUACCCUUGGCACAAAGGGUCACAUGCAUGAUUAGGACGCAAUAUGUGUGUGUUUAACUGCGUAUGUGUUAUGUUGCUAUGAAUGAGGAUAUCGCAAACCCACUCCUAUCCAGAAAUUUCCAGAAGAAAUAUACCGAAGUCACUAUCGCAAAUGUCCGACCAAAACUUUCUGAAUGCCACAAGAAGUCACUCAUCGCGGGAAGAUAUUCAUGCCCCGCAGAAAAUCAUGCACUGCCAGAGAAUGAAUCAUGCAUCUCAAGGGAAACAUUUACUCCUCAAUAUCAACUGCAUCUUUGUUUGGAAAGAGUGAAUGCCAAGAGAAUCAUCGAAAACAACGAAGAGAAAUGUCAACACUGCAUCAGCAUUUUACUUAUUUCGACAUCAAACGAAGAGUUCAUCGAAGAUUAUAUUGCAAACAUAAGACAUAAGCUUUAUUUGCCUUACAUCAAACCGAUCGAGUUGACGUGAAAUGAAGAAGGAGAACAACUAAGUGUCGACACUGUCAAAGACACUAUCUCCCAUUUAAAUUGCAUUUUUAUGCUGACGAGUUUUAUCUCAGUCCUUGUCGAGAGAAUCCGAAAGGAUGAAUUCUCCAAAACAUAACCACAGGUGCGGACGACAUCAAAAAGGAUGCAUCACAACGUGGAACUUUUUCUUGGAAGCAAACUGGGACACAGUCCAAAGAGGAAUGUCAACUGUUAGGAUGCGAGCAGAGGAGAGACUUCCACCACAAUCAAACCACACCCCUAUCAGAAGGCAUGUGGGUUUUCCCUUUUUCUUUGUCAGUUUUGGUUUCGCAUCCGAAAAUUUUGGUGUCCGUCGAAAGCAAGUUGUCAAUUUGAGUGACAAUGCACCAAGAGCUUUAAAAAUUAUGUCCAUGUAAAUUCUUAUAUAUGGAUGUGAAGAGCUCCACAUUCUUGGCUAAGAGGUUGCACACGUCUUUUUCAUACUCGACUUAAUUUGUCACUUGUCCAGAACCAAAGGUUAUCUAGCAUAAUAGAUUUUCUUUUCAACCGAUCGAGUCGAACUACAAUCAGCCUGAUUCCUGAAGAUACAAGGAUUUGUAGGUGAGCUCAAUGUCGAAAAUUUGGCUGUAUUCCAACAUUUGAUCUCAAAUCUUACUCCCAAAUAUUUCGGACCCUUCAUAAUCUGGUGUCGAGACAACUUUUGAAUUCUUUAGAAAUCGUGCAUAAAACCAAGCGUAUCGAACUACAAGUGGUCUGAAUUCUAAUAUAGCUUGAGAUAUGUAGGAAAACCAUUUUCGGGGUUCGGCCAUAACUCCCAAAGUCCGUACCAAAAUCCCUCUCCUAAAGAUAAAUAUGUGGUCGAUCAAAAUUGGCUUAGUCAAUUUCAUUUUUCUCAAAUUUAUUGCAUCAAUCCAAGUCAAAUGAGGGACAGUUGUUGACACCCAAUUUUGACCAUCCUGGAUAUAAAUUAAAAAAAGCUCCCAACAAAGUGAAAUAAUCGACUCUAUAAAAUUUAAAAAAUAUUUGUUAUCAGCUUUAGUAUAUUGUUUAAUGUAUGAAUAAUAUACACUUUUAUAUGUUUUGCAUAAUUUGUUUAUUUUAUAGAAUAUUCGAAAAUUUGUCUCAAAAGUUUAGUCUUUACUUAACGCCUUAUUGAUUUUGUCCGAUUAGUAUCUUGUAGUUUUGAGUCUUAAAGUGUAAUUAGGAUAUUCAUUUUAUCUUGUCGAAGUUAAAAAGCUCGUCAAUUAAUAUCAGUUCAUCUUAUUUAAUUUGGCCGAGUUUGUUUACUAAUUGAUCUCAUUUUGGUUAUAGUUUAAUUGCGUUUGGCCAUGAUUUUCAUCUAAUGGUCGAGUUAUCAAUUAAAAUAUAGCUUCUCCUAAUUUUUUUCUCCAACCUCUUUGAGAACCAAAAUUUGGGUCGUUUAAUCCAAAUUCAUUAAAUUUAAGCCCAUUUAUUCAAUGUUUCAGCAGGUUUUUUUCCUCCUCUUAAUCCCAGCCCACCAUCAUUUCCUUUUUAUUCAGCAGCCCAAUACUUAUUCCAAACCCAUUUUAUCUUCUCUUAAAAUCCCAGCCCAUUUCUCCCUUAAACCCGACCCAAAUUGGUGUCUUCCCCAAAGGAAACCCAGUUGGAGACAACGGUAUGUUCCCAGAAGACCCCAACUUUAUUCCUUCUCAUCGCGAUCCUAGACAUGCACCAUCAGUGCGUGAAGAACAACCGAAGUGACUCUCACCAUUAAAGCGAAAAGCAGAAAUCUCAAGCGCUUCCUUUCUCGCUCAUCUUCUUCAUGAUGCAAGAGAGCGCGUGCCUUAUGUAUCAGUUCUGUUUCUUCUUCUCCUUCCUCUCUGCGAUAGUAUGAUUAUAGGCAGGUUUUUCAGCUGCGCAAAUCAUCCUGCUCGCACGAGAUGACUCCACAUCGAGGGGCAAGGACAAACAAAUCAAUCGAGGCCGUCGAUUCUCCUUUCCACUUUCGGAAUGGAGUAAAAGUUCUUUCAGAAAAGGUUCCAUCCAAAGGGGAGAAAGUCUUUUUUUUUUUAAUUUGGGGUUUGAAUUACGAUUUCUCCCUUUUGUUCCCCCCCUAUUUUCGAAACUUUUGCCCUAAUUUCCGGUAUAUAUAUUCUCUUCAUCCCAGCUGUAGAGGGGGAUUGAAUUUUUUUUUGACUUUAAGGCAGAGAGAAGGGGAGAUCGAAAGAAAAAAAAAAGCUUGCGUUGAGAAUUUCCUUUCGAUUCUAAAAAUCUAAGAGUCACCUUAAGAAAGACACUGCUUAAAAAAAUAUUGUAAGCCUUUUGAGAAAAGGGUGUCUUAGUUUUGGUCUAGAUAUCACUCCUCCGCUCCAUUUGGAUCGGUCUACUCGAGUUUCGCUUAAGGUUCAAGUUGAUGGCAGAAGCUGGUCAUCCAUCUUGCUCGUUGUUGCCCAAGCUGCUGCUCAAGAAAAGGUAAAAACUUCCCUUACCUUUUGCCUUCUAUCUGUUUUCCAAUGAAUGAUUGAAUAAUGUGAAAAUUUGUUGUUGGUUACGUGUUGAGUUUACAUGAUAAGUUUUUGAUCCCAAGUUCGCUUUUCAUCGUAAUUCUUCUGAAACUAGCAUAUGUAUUUCUGUCUUCCCAGCUGAUUUUUUCCUGUUUAAGUUUGAUCCCCCCUGCCAUGGAUCUUCUUAAAUUUUCUCGUCUGAUUAUGUUCGUUUCAGCUCUAUUUUUAACUAUAUUUUUAGUUGCAUAAACUUUAUUUUAUUGCCGUUUGUCUAAAGUCGCAUUCAUGCCUUCAUUAUGUAUUUGGAAAGUGUCGGAGCGCCUUAGGACACUUUGCAUUUAGGUUUUUCGAGUAUGAGUUAAUUUUGUUGAAGUGGUGUCCUCUGGGAGUAUGUUCAUGAAUCUGUUUUCCGUAACAUUCUUCUGAGGAAAAUCUGUCCGCUUCCGGAUAUCACUUAGUUUGGUCUUUGACAUGGUUAUUUUAAAAAUCUAAGAUCUCAAUUUAAGUUUGUUGUGUUAUCAUGUGAUGCAACCUCUCCACCGUAACAACUUCUUCAUCUCUUCUAUUCCGAAUAGAUGUUAGUAACGUGAUAAAAUCUCUGUUUUGGUUUGAAUGGUAUGGGAUUGAAUCUUGGCGACUUCACUUGUUAUUAAUCUAUUCUUAAUGGAUAUAUCGAUCUAGUUUCAACAUCGUGUCGAAUGAUUAUCAUGCGGAGUUUGUCAUUUGUUCGUUUGUAUAUUCAAGCUUACUUGUUUUGCUAUGCUUUAUUCCGAAUAUAAACUUCAACGUUGCAGGCGUGUUCUUUUGAUUUUAUUCUAAUCAAGUCGAGUUCUAACCGUGAUUGUAAUUUAAGUUCCCUUGUUUUAUGCUUAGAUUAUAUUCAGUGUAAAAAAAUAUUUUUUUUAGUUUCGGCUCAUGUAGAGUUUGAUUUAUUUUUUUAAUUUAAAAAUUGACUGUUUCUUGUCUCUUGACCUCAUGGCUCGUAACUGCAUAUUGUUUCGUUACGAACUAUUUUGUUGGUUUAAACUUAUCCUAGCUUAUUUUAAGGUUAGAAGUUGUAAUUUGGUCAUUCUUAUGGUUUCUUUGCUGCCAAAUGUGUCGUAGUCGUGAUUUAUCUAGUUGGAUAAAAUGUGGCUUUGUCCCUCAUAAUUUCAAAGUUCACCAAUUUUGUCAUAUCACCUCUCGUGCAUUGAAAUUUUCCAGCAUGCCGCAGUUUUCUUUUUGCAUAUCAUUUUGUUUUGGAUUAGAUAAUACUCCGUUGAUUGUUUUGGUUUUUUUGGAAUUUGGAAGAUUGUUGGGACCCAUUUGGUUUAUAUUGCAAAUUGGUUGUAAUACUUAUUAUACAGUAUAUUAAUUAAAUCAUUUUGCUUAGAUCACUAUGAUUUCAUCUAUAUGUUGAACUUGUUUGGAGUAGCUGCCUAAGUGCAAACUCCAUCUGUUAGUAUGCUUCGAGGCCUUCUAUUUUUUUAUCGUAAAUUCGCCCCCUAUUUACAACAUGAUUUUAAAUAGCCACUGUCCCAUUUUUGUUGUAUUUCUUGAUUUUAACCUGCUUGCUUCACCUAUUGGAAGGUUGCUGAAGUUAUGUUCCAUCUGGUGCACCCUUUGGUAUCUCUUAAAAUUAUUAUUUUGAGAUAUUAUUGUUUGAAUACUAAUCCUUAUUUUCUCGUUGCAUGUGAAAUUGAUUCGGGUCCUAAUGGACUGCAUUCUCGCAUUUUCCUUUGGGCCGUGGAGGCCUAAAUUUCUUUUCUCUCGAGUCAAGCCCUUUAAAACAGACGAACAGGUCUCAGAGUCAAAAAUGGAGUGGACCGAAGAUCUAGAAGAAGAAUUGAGCCAAAAGGCCCAUUUUCCUUUUUGUAGUUUUAUUUUAGUAUUUUUUGGGCCUAAGCCCUUAUAUUGUUGUAUUAAUAUUUUACUAGUUUAGGACAGGUACAGGUGAAGUGGGCCAAAGGCCCAAAACAAACGGGUCAAAAAAUCCGAAAGCAGGUGGGUCCAAAAAUCGGUCCAGGCGGACAGAACCCGGGUUUGGGCCCAAAAUAUCUCUCUGUCUGUCUUAUUACUUAUCUAUUUUUAUUUGUCAUUAGUUUAAAGUUAGAAAACUCCAAAUCCCCGUCGAAUGCCAUAACGUUUUAGUAACAUAAAAUUAAACUAAGUUCAAAUAGUUUUAAAAAGUAUUUUUCAGUUUAUAAGUGUCGCUUAGCUAAAAAACUAAGAAACUUACUUUCAAACAAUUUCCAAUAAAUUUUAUAAGUUAGUUAUUUUAGCCAAAUGAGUUAGUUGUUGGAUAAUCGCAAUUUAGCGAACGUCUUAGGUGCUUUCAAAACCUUCCUAAGACGUUCAUAGAUAUCCCUAAACCCCUUUAAAGUUUUCAAAAUGAUUUUUCUAUUUCAGUCUUUUGAAGAAAAAAAAUAGUUUUCUUGAUUUUUCCUAAAAAUUAAGUGGCAAUUCUAAAAAGUUGGAAAAUUUACAAAAUAUUAUUUUCCAAAAACUUUCGUACAAAACAUGUAGUUUAGAGAGUCUAAAAGUACGAUAACUACACCCCAAGGACCACAGGAAGGGUCCUUGAGAAGGACCCCAACAUGGGUGGGUAGGCUGCUAAAGCAGUCUGCGAAAGUCAAGAAUCGGUGGGCUACUGUGCGACGCGCAGCCAACACGGACCCACGGCCUCAAAUUAUUUUUGGGAAAUAAAAUGUGUGUUGGCCCUGCGACGCGGAGACACUUCCCAGAUAUCGUAAAAGUCGUAUUUUGGGUGUUUUGACUUCACAAAUAAACUCAUUUAAGUAAGGAGUCUUUUGGGUAAUUUAAUGGGUGACUAUAUAAUAUAUUAGGGUCAGUUUUAGGUCAAUUUUAUCACUCAAAUCAAGAUCGACAAGUUGAAAUAAAAAAUCUCUCUCUCUCUCCCAAAAUUCUCUCUUCCUCCAAACCUCCAUUGAAUACCAUUAGAGCUCCAAGAAGAAGAUCAAGCCUUCAAGUAUUUCAACCCAAUUUCGUGGCUUUAUCAUCUAUAAGGUUCGGGCCAUUGAGGUAUCAUUGAGGCUAAAGCAAGAAGGCUUGGACUAGACUCUCCAAGUUUUGGUAUGCCCUCUGGUUCGAGGAUGUUACCACACACUCUAUCAUAGUAGUACUUGUAUUGGCUAGUAGACAUUCAUUUGUUUCCAAUUGUUGAAGAUAUUGAUGUAAGCCCUAUAUGACAACUAUGGAUUUGUAUAAGGCCUUUGCCCGGAUUGUUUGACUUCGUUUAGAUGGUUGAUAUGAGACAAUAUUAGACUAAAUUCCUAUGCGUUUUUAAGUUGUCUAUUGCGAGAAGCCUACGUACGCUUCCUAUGUAGAGUUCUAUGUAAACCUCAUUGUUAUAUAAGUAAAAGUUUUUAAUUU